CUAAACAGCCCGAAAAAUGAAUCAAGAAAAGCAAUCGGCGAGCGCUUGAAUUCAAACCAAUGAAUGUGAUUGUGGUGAAGCCAAUCGAUAGAAGAAUUGAAGGAUCUUCAAAACAAAACCAUUGAAUUGCAAGAAUCGAGAAUUUCCGAACAGCAAUCUUCGGUCGCUUGCCAAUCCCCUCUCUGCUAUAUGUUUCCUUCUCUCUCUCUUCAUCGACACAGACUACAACUACGUAAAUACGUUUCAGAGCAGAUUGUUUUGGGCCACUAGAAAGCCCUAAUUUGAAACGGUAACAUAUGAGAGAGGUGCGUUGUGUAAGAACAACCACACGAUAUCUUG
rnacentral:lncRNA from 1 species